CUAUCUCCUGACCUGAAAGCAGUGUUGCGGUCCUUGACAGUGUUUCUUUAAUACUCUUGGUAGGAUAACAAACCUACCAUGAUUUAUCGUUCCUUAUGUCGUAUGGUAAUGUACAGGGGUUGGGUUUGUGUCGGGUCUCUUCUUUUUCUGUUUACUAAUUAUUUGUGUGUGUGUGAGUGUGUGUGUGCGUGUGUGUGCGUGUGUGUGUGCGUGUGUGUGUGUGUGUGUGUGUGUGUGGAAAGUUCAUAAGCCAGAGGGAAACUGAGCUGGAGCAGUAAAUUUCUGUUUUUCUUUUCUUGUUUGAUGGUUUCGGUUCAUCUGUUCGAAUAUUGUUUGGUCCAAAAGCUUGGAUUUCUUUUAACAAACGAGCUGAACAUCAUCAUCAUCAUGAUAAUUAUAAAAAACGGUAUCAUUUGAACUUCAUUAUUUAUUGCUUGGGAUUUUUUCUUGCAUUUAUUCUGUUUGUAUUAUUUUUAACCAUGUUUAAUAAAAUCGAAAUUACGGGGAAAGGUUACCUCCCCUUCCUCUUAUAUUGCCCGCCCAGAUUAUUUGCCCUGACCGCCCAUGAGAAAAUUAGUUACGAACGUGUACACAUAGUUCUUUGCUUGAGAGACACCGUGGCUUGCAAACGAGCGAAUCAUCGCAGUUGCUCAGUGUUUGGAUGUACAAAACCUCGAAAAGGCCAGCUCAUCAAGUGCUUACAUUCAGCAGCUUCUCUCAAGGGAUGUUGCCUGCCAGACAGAGCACCUGGAAACGCAUAUUUGUAGGCACACAGCUAUCCUUAAAGACUUUGCAGCCACAUUUUAAAAGUGAAGUAGACUGCGAUGCCUUUGGAGACCGUAGCACUCAGCGUGGCGCCACCUCAGA